AAGUAGCAGUCUCGCGAACGAGUAGCAGUCAACGCGGGAGAUACCGGAGUGCCGCCGCGCCCUCGCAUCGCCUCGCACACGGAUGCCGUCGGUAUGUUGCUGUAACUUGGUGCGCUGAUGAUGCUGAUGCUGUUGCUGUUGCUGUCGUUGCUGCUGCCGACAGGCGAUCCGCGGUUACACAGUGAUGUUAAGUGAAGUGCGUUUAGUGACGUGCGGCCGUAUAAUUGUGUGUUGGGUUUAUCCUGUUUGAAAAUUUCAAACUGAAACGCAGAGUCCUAGGUAGCAGUCACGGAUCUACACAUUAUCAACUCCCGAAUACGGACGUGCUGGUUGCAGCGGCGCUUGACGCUGCACAGGACGGACGGACGCGGACUGUAGCGAUACACGCGUACAGUGAUACGUUUUACGCGUGAGCGUAUACAAAACAAAACUGUUGGGUUUAUCCAAAGAUAAAAAAAAAUUUCUAAAAAUUCAAAUUGUUGGGUUUAUCCAAUUUAAAAUCGAUACUAAAAAUUAGUAUUUAAGUUAUUUAGGUUAAGAUAUUGGCUUUGCGAAAUAUUGCAUGUCUCUUUUCUUUAGUCUACGUAACAUUAAGUGUUUUGGUGACACGUGAAAACGUGCAAAGUGGUGAAACACCGGCUAAAAUCAUAGGUAGCAGAUUUUUUGAAGUAGCAGUCUCGCGAACGAGUAGCAGUCAACGCGGGAGAUACCGGAGUGCCGCCGCGCCCUCGCAUCGCCUCGCACACGGAUGCCGUCGGUAUGUUGCUGUAACCUGGUGCGCUGAUGAUGCUGAUGCUGUUGCUGUUGCUGUCGUUGCUGCUGCCGACAGGCGAUCCGCGGUUACACAGUGAUGUUAAGUGAAGUGCGUUUAGUGACGUGCGGCCGUAUAAUUGUGUGUUGGGUUUAUCCUGUUUGAAAAUUUCAAACUGAAACGCAGAGUCCUAGGUAGCAGUCACGGAUCUACACAUUAUCAACUCCCGAAUACGGACGUGCUGGUUGCAGCGGCGCUUGACGCUGCACAGGACGGACGGACGGGCGGACUGUAGCGAUACACGCGUACAGUGAUACGUUUUACGCGUGAGCGUAUACAAAACAAAACUGUUGGGUUUAUCCAAAGAUAAAAAAAAGUUUCUAAAAAUUCAAAUUGUUGGGUUUAUCCAAUUUAAAAUCAAUACUAAAAAUUAGUAUUUAAGUUAUUUAGGUUAAGAUAUUGGCUUUGCGAAAUAUUGCAUGUCUCUUUUCUUUAGUCUACGUAACAUUAAGUGUUUUGGUGACACGUGAAAACGUGCAAAGUGGUGAAACACCGGCUAAAAUCAUAGGUAGCAGAUUUUUUGACGUAGCAGUCUCGCGAACGAGUAGCAGUUAACGCGGGAGAUACCGGAGUGCCGCCGCGCCCUCGCAUCGCCUCGCACACGGAUGCCGUCGGUAUGUUGCUGUAACCUGGUGCGCUGAUGAUGCUGUUGCUGAUGCUGUUGCUGUUGCUGUCGCUGCUGCUGCUGCUGCCGACAGGCGAUCCGCGGUUACACAGUGAUGUUAAGUGAAGUGCGUUUAGUGACGUGCGGCCGUAUAAUUGUGUGUUGGGUUUAUCCUGUUUGAAAAUUUCAAACUGAAACGCAGAGUCCUAGGUAGCAGACACGGAUCUACACAUUAUCAACUCCCGAAUACGGACGUGCUGGUUGCAGCGGCGCUUGACGCUGCACAGGACGGACGGACGGGCGGACUGUAGCGAUACACGCGUACAAUGAUACGUUUUACGCGUGAGCGUAUACAAACCAAAACUGUUGGGUUUAUCCAAAGAUAAAAAAAAGUUUCUAAAAAUUCAAAUUGUUGGGUUUAUCCAAUUUAAAAUCGAUACUAGAAAUUAGUAUUUAAGUUAUUUAGGUUAAGAUAUUGGCUUUGCGAAAUAUUGCAUGUCUCUUUUCUUUAGUCUACGUAACAUUAAGUGUUUUGGUGACACGUGAAAACGUGCAAAGUGGUGAAACACCGGCUAAAAUCAUAGGUAGCAGAUUUUUUGACGUAGCAGUCUCGCGAACGAGUAGCAGUCAACGCGGGAGAUACCGGAGUGCCGCCGCGCCCUCGCAUCGCCUCGGACACGGAUGCCAUCGGUAUGUUGCUGUAACCUGGUGCGCUGAUGAUGCUGAUGCUGUUGCUGUCGCUGCUGCUGCUGCUGCCGACGACAGGCGAUCCGCGGUUACACAGUGAUGUUAAGUGAAGUGCGUUUAGUGACGUGCGGCCGUAUAAUUGUGUGUUGGGUUUAUCCUGUUUGAAAAUUUCAAACUGAAACGCAGAGUCCUAGGUAGCAGUCACGGAUCUACACAUUAUCAACUCCCGAAUACGGACGUGCUGGUUGCAGCGGCGCUUGACGCUGCACAGGACGGACGGGCGGACUGUAGCGAUACACGCGUACAGUGAUACGUUUUACGCGUGAGCGUAUACAAAACAAAACUGUUGGGUUUAUCCAAAGAUAAAAAAAAGUUUCUAAAAAUUCAAAUUGUUGGGUUUAUCCAAUUUAAAAAGUUAAAAUCGAUACUAAAAAUUAGUAUUUAAGUUAUUUAGGUUAAGAUAUUGGCUUUGCGAAAUAUUGCAUGUCUCUAUUCUUUAGUCUACGUAACAUUAAGUGUUUUAGUGACACGUGAAAACGUGCAAAGUGGUGAAACACCGGCUAAAAUCAUAGGUAGCAGAUUUUUUAAAGUAGCAGUCUCGCGAACGAGUAGCAGUCAACGCGGGAGAUACCGGAGUGCCGCCGCGCCCUCGCAUCGCCCCGCACACGGAUGCCAUCGGUAUGUUGCUGUAACCUGGUGCGCUGAUGAUGCUGUUGCUGUAGCUGUCGCUGCUGCUGCUGCUGCCGACAGGCGAUCCGCGGUUACGCAGUGAUGUGAAGUGCGUUUAGUGACGUGCGGCCGUAUA